rnacentral:rRNA from 1 species
UGGGGAAUCUUGCACAAUGGGCGAAAGCCUGAUGCAGCAACGCCGCGUGCGGGAAGACAGCCCUAGGGUUGUAAACCGCUUUCAGCAGGGAAGAAACUGACGGUACCUGCAGAAGAAGAUGCGGCCAACUACGUGCCAGCAGCCGCGGUGACACGUAGGCAUCAAGCGUUAUCCGGAUUUAUUGGGCGUAAAGAGCUCGUAGGCGGUUCGGUAAGUCGGGUGUGAAAACUCUGGGCUCAACCCAGAGAGGCCACUCGAUACUGCUGUGACUAGAGUGCGGUAGGGGAGCGGGGAAUUCCUGGUGUAGCGGUGAAAUGCGCAGAUAUCAGGAGGAACACCAGUGGCGAAGGCGCCGCUCUGGGCCGUAACUGACGCUGAGGAGCGAAAGCAUGGGUAGCAAACAGGAUUAGAUACCCUGGUAGUCCACGCCGUAAACGGUGGGCGCUAGGUGUGGGGAUCGUUUCCACGAUCUCCGUGCCGUAGCUAACGCAUUAAGCGCCCGCCUGGGAGUACGGCCGCAAGGCUAAAACUCAAAU